rnacentral:lncRNA from 1 species
AAGAAAGUAAAGAGAGAGAGAGAGAGGUAGGUGUUAGAACUAAAGCGAAAAAGAUCUAGUUCAACGUCGAGUGCAAAAAUACCAAAAAGAGAUCCGAAAAAGAGAGAAAAAAUAAAACACACAAUAUUUGCAUGGUUUGACCACUAGCCUAUAUCCACAGGCGAAGAUGGAGCCGAGACUUCUAGUAUAAUCAAAGUGAUGUACAAAAUAUGUCUCUCUCGCAAAACCCCUAAUCCCAAAAAUACACCCAUACUCAUUCCUAUCAACCGUACCAAAAUUAAUAGAAUAAAGGGUAUAUCUAGAAUAAUGGCUAAAUUCUAAUACGACUAAAAAUACAAAUCUAUUACGACUAGGAAUAUCUUAAUUAGAUUAUGCAUAAUCUAAACUUAACUUAAUAGGAUAAUCAAAACAAAAUAGAUUUAGAAAACGUUGUAAUUCCAGAAUUCAAGACAAAUCUAACAAUCUUCACCUUGACUUGAAUUCUCUGUAUUCUUCACCAAAACCCCCAAAAGCUCCUGAAGUGUUGUUGCACAUGCGAACAAAGUUUAUGGAAUACUUGAACUUGAUCACCGAAAAACAUAAUGAGCAAAUCCAUGGAGUUAUCUAAACUGCCAAUCUUUUCAUCUCCAAUAACGCCUUUCGCAACCUCUAUUGCAUUAGAACGACAACGUGUCAUAGAACGAAACUGCUAGAGUGAUCAACUUCUCGAUCUCAAAUUUCAUCGAUGUCUUAAACACCCAAACAAACAAUCCGGCUUUGAUACCAGUUUGUUAGAACAAAAGUGGAGAAGAUCUAGUUUGUCGGAUACAAAAUACCAAAAAGAGAUCAGAGAAAGAAAAAAGAAAAAUAAAACACACAAUAUUUAUGUAGUUUGGCCACUGGCCUACAUCCAUGAGCAAAGAUGGAGCCAAGAUUUUUAUUACACUACAACAGAAUUAUGUUAUAGGGACACAUUUUUGGGAUACUUUUAUAUAAGUGUCCCAUUUAUGCCAAAUUUUUUUAAAACAAUCUAUUAAGGACUAAAUAUAAAGCUCAAUCUAAUCAAAAAUAAAAAGCUUCUCUAUUUAACUAACCACACUGAGCCUCCUCAACCCGAUUACAAAUAAAAAAGAAAAAAAAAAGAAAAAUUGAUCACCAUCUUUCUUUCUCCUCCUCUGUCGCCGUAGCCAACGAGGUAGGAUUCCAGCAAUUAGAGUUCGGCCACGAGGAUCUCACAAGGAACGUAGAGGGCUAAGAUCGCCACAUAUUCCUCCGCCACAGGUCGCUGAAGGAGUGGGUGCCAAAUAUCAAGGCGGCCCUACCUAUAGCGACCCCACAUAUAGCAACACUUUUAAAAGUGUCGGUAAUUUAGCCAGCAGCAUUUUUUUUACCUGUACCGACAUUUAAAAGUGUCGCUAUACACUGUUUUUGUUGUAGUGUUAUAAUCAAAGUGGUGUACAAAAUAUGCCUCUCUUGCAAAACUCUAUUCCUAAGAAUAUAUCAUACUUUCUCUCAUCUACCGCAUCAAAAUUAAUAGAAUAAAGGGUAUAUUUAUAAUAGCAGUUAAAUCCUAACACGAUUAGGAAUACAAAUCCACUAAGACUAUGGAUAUCUUAAUUAGAUUAGAUAUAAUCUAAACUUAACUUAAUAAGAUAAUCAAAAUAGAAUAGGAUUAGAAAAUGUUGUGAUUCCAUAAUUCGAGACAUUUCU